ACGGGGGGGGCAAGCGUUGUUCGGAAUUACUGGGCGUAAAGGGCUCGUAGGUGGCCAACUAAGUCAGACGUGAAGUCCCUCGGCUUAACCGGGGAACUGCGUCUGAUACUGGAUGGCUUGAGGUUGGGAGAGGGAUGCGGAAUUCCAGGUGUAGCGGUGAAAUGCGUAGAUAUCUGGAGGAAUACCGGUGGCGAAGGCGGCAUCCUGGACCGACAUUGACGCUGAUGAGCGAAAGCUGGGGGAGCAAACGGGA
rnacentral:rRNA from 1 species